AUUGAACGCUGGCGGCAUGCUUUACACAUGCAAGUCGAACGGUAACAGGUUAAGCUGACGAGUGGCGAACGGGUGAGUAAUGCAUCGGAACGUGCCCGAUCGUGGGGGAUAACGCAGCGAAAGCUGCGCUAAUACCGCAUACGAUCUGAGGAUGAAAGCGGGGGACCGUAAGGCCUCGCGCGAUCGGAGCGGCCGAUGUCAGAUUAGGUAGUUGGUGGGGUAAAGGCUCACCAAGCCGCCGAUCUGUAGCUGGUCUGAGAGGACGACCAGCCAAACUGGGACUGAGACACGGCCCAGACUCCUACGGGAGGCAGCAGUGGGGAAUUUUGGACAAUGGGCGCAAGCCUGAUCCAGCAAUGCCGCGUGCAGGAAGAAGGCCUUCGGGUUGUAAAGCGCUUUUGUCUGGGAAAAAAUCGCAUGGGCUAAUACCCUGUGUGGAUGAUGGUACCGGAAUAAGAAGCACCGGCUAACUACGUGCCAGCCGCCGCCGUAA
rnacentral:rRNA from 1 species